UCUGCUUCAGGACUUCUUCUUCUGGGACGUAGACCCUCUCGAAGGUCUUGCCGACCUUCUUCUCCCAGAGGGAAAUGAGCUCGUUAUGAGACAAGAUGUUGGCGGAAGGUCUCAGAUAUAGAACCUUGUUCAGGGUUCUCGGAUCAUCCACUGCUUUAAUUGUGUAUGUCCCGAUGUCGUCUUCAUUGAGAAAGAUCGCUGUUGUAGGAGGAAAAAAAACGCCAUUAAAUAAGAGAUGGCCAUAUAUUUUACAUCUUGCAAAAGAAGACGAAGAGGAAUUCACGCCAUACCUUUUGUGUUCCCGUCACCUAAGAUGACAACCUUGUCCGUGGGAGGACCAGUGGCUCCUGCCUGUCCCAAUACCGGGAGGAAAUACCCACCGAAGAAG
rnacentral:lncRNA from 1 species